GAUGCCAGAAGUAGGUUAUUUCCUUCUUGGUAGAGACUGGAAACAAGGAGGAGAGCUAGCAUCUAUAUGACCAGCCAGAUAUCCUUAAACCAUGGCCUGCCUCAACUCUCACUGAAGUCAAUGGAAAACUACAGACAUGGCAUCAAAAUAACGAUAUCAGUCACGGUAUAUUCACUCUCCCACAAAGAUGCCAAAGUUUCUAGUAAAGGGAAGUGAAGCAGAAGUAGUAAGAACUAAUAAAUAGAAAAACAAGGAAAGACAGACACCUGUCCAGCUCCGAUAAGGAAAAUCUGGAUCUCUCACAUCCCUCAAAAGUGGAAUUUCAGAGGCAGAGUCUUUGAAAUAUAACAGGUUCUGUUCACAAUACAGGAAGGGAAGAGAAUCAGUGCUUCACACGUUUUGUGAAUUGUAUGACCAACUGCAUUGCAUUAGCUUGUUUUAUGUCAGCCAAACUCAUUAUUACAGGUGAGUGAACCAUAAAAAAUUCUCAGUCUAUGAGCAAUAUCCUGAAGAACUGCACUGAACCCAAAUGACAAAUAUGAUCUCACUUCAAAUGAUUUUUAAAUUACAUACAUACCAUUACUCAUGCAUGGCAUUGCUGCACAUUUCCAGCCUUG